rnacentral:rRNA from 1 species
UGGGGAAUUUUGCGCAAUGGGCGGAAGCCUGACGCAGCAACGCCGCGUGGAGGAUGAAGGUCUUUGGAUUGUAAACUCCUGUCAGCAGGGAAAAAGGGACUGGGCCUCAUACGUCUGGAACUUGAUUGUACCUGCAGAGGAAGCCCCGGCUAACUCUGUGCCAGCAGCCGCGGUAAUACAGAGGGGGCAAGCGUUAUUCGGAAUUAUUGGGCGUAAAGGGCGCGUAGGCGGCUUUGCAAGUGACGGGUGAAAUCCCUCGGCUUAACCGAGGAACUGCCUGUCAGACUGUGAGGCUUGAGACCGGGAGAGGUGAGUGGAAUUCCCAGUGUAGCGGUGAAAUGCGUAGAUAUUGGGAGGAACACCAGUGGCGAAGGCGGCUCACUGGACCGGAACUGACGCUGAGGCGCGAAAGCGUGGGGAGCAA